GACGAACGCUGGCGGCGUGCUUAACACAUGCAAGUCGAACGGAAAGGCCCUGCUUUUGUGGGGUGCUCGAGUGGCGAACGGGUGAGUAACACGUGAGUAACCUGCCCUUGACUUUGGGAUAACUUCAGGAAACUGGGGCUAAUACCGGAUAGGAGCUCCUGCUGCAUGGGGGGGGUUGGAAAGUUACGGCGGUUGGGGAUGGACUCGCGGCUUAUCAGCUUGUUGGGGGGGUAGUGGCUGACCAAGGCUUUGACGGGUAGCCGGCCUGAGAGGGUUAACGGCCACAUUGGGCCUGAGGUACGGCCCAGACUCCUACGGGCGGCAGCAGUGGAGAAUAUUGCACAAUGACCGGACGCCUGAUGCAGCAAUGCCGCGUUCGGGAUGACGGCCUUCGGGUUGUAAACAGCUUUCGACUUUGACGUAGAGUGAGUGACGGUAAUGAGUAAAGAAGCACCGGCUAACUACGUG
rnacentral:rRNA from 1 species